AGGGCCUGUGGGAAGGGCCUGUCUGUGCACAGGCCUGCCAGGGGACGUGCCAGGGAAGGGGGCCCUGCAGUGGGACCCAGCGUCUCUGGCUCGUCCCAUCUGCUUAAGGACGGGUGCUGGACCCUGUCCCAGGCCUGACCUCCCAGACGUGGUGGGAACCGGGAGCCGGGCUUGGUCCCUGUGUGCGACCAACAGGGGCCUCCGCCGCUGGGUCCCCACACGACGCACGGUCCCGUCUCCGACCCAGCCGGCCUGGCCGGCCCCCAGGAGGGUCCCACCCCUCGUGGGGCUGGGCUGUGUGGGACCGAGGACUGGCGGGAGCACAGGGCACUCAUCCUGCCAGUGGGCUGCACCGUGAAGGGUGUGUGGACGGGAGCAGGAGCGUCUGGCGAGCCGGGGAGGAGAGUGCCUGCCAGGGAACGGCAUGUGGGGAGCCUCCGUGUGUCCCCGUCCCUACACGCGAGGAGCAGGCGGUGCCACGGCCAGGAGCCCCAGCGGAGGGGGAGUGCAGCAAAGGGAUGCGGACACCGAAACGCUGCAUCUGUUCCCCUUGGUCUCAGAAUGUAAAGCCCCAAAGCAAGGUGACUCCAUAGGCCUGGCCUGCUUGGCACAAGGACCCUCCGCAGAGUCCGUGCAGGUCACCUCGAGCUCGGGGGCGCAGACGACCACCCUGAUCACGCUGAGGGCCCGAGAGCACACGCAGCUGUCCUUCCUGUCAGUCACCUGGAAGCCGGACCCGCACUACUGCAGAGCCGUCGUUUCCGGCCUCCCACGGGAGAAGCCCAUCCUAUGGCCAGAGUCCUGGGAAGGGAAGACCGACCCAUCGGCUCACGGGCCGUCUCCGCCAGAGACCUCCUCCACACCCAGCGUCCCAGUGUCCUCCACCAGCCACACCCACACACAAGCCGCAGAGUCAGGAAGCCCAGUGGACGCUACGCUCAGAGACUGCCGGAACCACACUCACCCUCCCAGCCUCUACCUGCUGCAGCCUCCCCUGCGGGGCCCGUGGCUCCAGGGAGAGGCCACCUUCACCUGCCUGGCGGUGGGGGAUGACCUGCAGGAGGCCCGUGUGUCCUGGGCGGUGGCCGGGGCGCCCCCCAGCAGGGCGGUGGAGGAGGGGCCGCGGGAGGAGCACGCCAACGGCUCCCAGAGCCUGAGCAGCCGCCUGGCCUUGCCGGUGUCCCUGUGGGCCUCGGGGACCAGCAUCGCCUGCACGCUGAGCCAGCCCAACACGCCGGCCCAGGUGGUGUCUGCAGCACCGGGACAGCACGCGGCCACCGCGCCCAGCAGCCUCACUGUCCGCGUCCUGACCGUGCACCAAGCAGCCUCCUGGCUCCUGUGUGAGGUGUCGGGCUUCUCGCCCCCGGACAUCCUCCUCACCUGGCUCAAGGGCCGCACGGAGGUGGACCCUGCGGCGUUUGCCACCGCACGCCCCGCGGCCCAGCCAGGGAACAGCACGUUCCAGACCUGGAGCGUCCUGCGUGUCCUCGCGGCCCAGAGCCCUGGCCCAGCCACCUACACAUGUGUGGUGAGGCAUGAUGCCUCCCGGAAGCUGUUCAACACCAGCCAGAGCCUGGACACUGGUCUGGCCAUGACGCCCCCACCCCUCCAGAGCCAUGACGAGAGCAGGGGGGACGCCACGGACCUGGAGGACGUCGGCGGGCUGUGGCCCACGUUUGCAGCCCUCUUCCUGCUCACUCUGCUCUACAGCGGCUUUGUCACCUUCAUCAAGGUGAAAUGACUCCAGGAGAGUAGACGCUCAGCCUCCACGCUGUCGCCAAGGGCAAAGGGGCCCAGCCCGGACUCCAGCCCCAUCUCCGCCCACCCCCCGCACACCUCUGUCCACCUCUGUCCAGAGCUCAGCCCCCAGGCCCAGAGAGGAGGGCGUCACAGCCCGCACACCCCCGAGCCAGCAGACCUCACUGCAGCCCCUUGCCUUUACACCGGCCAGCCGGCCCCAUAAACCUUGCUCAUUCCGUGCC